rnacentral:rRNA from 1 species
GACGAACGCUGGCGGCGUGCUUAACACAUGCAAGUCGAGCGGUAAGGCCCUUUCGGGGGUACACGAGCGGCGAACGGGUGAGUAACACGUGGGUGACCUGCCCUCAGCUCUGGGAUAAGCCCGGGAAACUGGGUCUAAUACUGGAUAUGACUCCACGGUGCAUGCCGUGGGGUGGAAAGCCUUGUGCGGCUGAGGAUGGGCCCGCGGCCUAUCAGCUUGUUGGUGGGGUGAUGGCCUACCAAGGCGACGACGGGUAGCCGGCCUGGGAGGGCGACCGGCCACACUGGGACUGAGACACGGCCCAGACUCCUACGGGAGGCAGCAGUGGGGAAUCUUGCGCAAUGGGCGAAAGCCUGACGCAGCGACGCCGCGUGAGGGAUGACGGCCUCGGUUGUAA